UGGGGAAUAUUGCACAAUGGGCGAAAGCCUGAUGCAGCAACGCCGCGUGAGUGAUGAAGGUCUUCGGAUUGUAAAGCUCUGUCUUUUGGGACGAUAAUGACGGUACCAAAGGAGGAAGCCACGGCUAACUACGUGCCAGCAGCCGCGGUAAUACGUAGGUGGCGAGCGUUGUCCGGAUUUACUGGGCGUAAAGGGUGCGUAGGCGGAUGUUUAAGUGAGAUGUGAAAUACCCGGGCUUAACUUGGGUGCUGCAUUUCAAACUGGAUAUCUAGAGUGCAGGAGAGGAGAAUGGAAUUCCUAGUGUAGCGGUAAAAUGCGUAGAGAUUAGGAAGAACACCAGUGGCGAAGGCGAUUCUCUGGACUGUAACUGACGCUGAGGCACGAAAGCGUGGGUAGCAAACAGGAUUAGAUACCCUGGUAGUCCACGCCGUAAACGAUGAGUACUAGGUGUAGGAGGUAUCGACCCCUUCUGUGCCGCAGUAAACACAUUAAGUACUCCGCCUGGGAAGUACGAUCGCAAGAUUAAAACUCUAAAGUGAAUUGACGGGGU
rnacentral:rRNA from 1 species